rnacentral:rRNA from 1 species
UGUAUAAUGGGUCAGCGACUUAUAUUCUGUAGCAAGGUUAACCGAAUAGGGGAGCCGAAGGGAAACCGAGUCUUAACUGGGCGUUAAGUUGCAGGGUAUAGACCCGAAACCCGGUGAUCUAGCCAUGGGCAGGUUGAAGGUUGGGUAACACUAACUGGAGGACCGAACCGACUAAUGUUGAAAAAUUAGCGGAUGACUUGUGGCUGGGGGUGAAAGGCCAAUCAAACCGGGAGAUAGCUGGUUCUCCCCGAAAGCUAUUUAGGUAGCGCCUCGUGAAUUCAUCUCCGGGGGUAGAGCACUGUUUCGGCUAGGGGGCCAUCCCGGCUUACCAACCCGAUGCAAACUGCGAAUACCGGAGAAUGUUAUCACGGGAGACACACGGCGGGUGCUAACGUCCGUCGUGAAGAGGGAAACAACCCAGACCGCCAGCUAAGGUCCCAAAGUCAUGGUUAAGUGGGAAACGAUGUGGGAAGGCUCAGACAGCCAGGAUGUUGGCUUAGAAGCAGCCAUCAUUUAAAGAAAGCGUAAUAGCUCACUGGUCGAGUCGGCCUGCGCGGAAGAUGUAACGGGGCUAAACCAUGCACCGAAGCUGCGGCAGCGACACGAAGUGUUGUUGGGUAGGGGAGCGUUCUGUAAGCCUGUGAAGGUGUGCUGUGAGGCAUGCUGGAGGUAUCAGAAGUGCGAAUGCUGACAUAAGUAACGAUAAAGCGGGUGAAAAGCCCGCUCGCCGGAAGACCAAGGGUUCCUGUCCAACGUUAAUCGGGGCAGGGUGAGUCGACCCCUAAGGCGAGGCCGAAAGGCGUAGUCGAUGGGAAACAGGUUAAUAUUCCUGUACCAGGUGUUACUGCGAAGGGGGGACGGAGAAGGCUAUGUUGGCCGGGCGACGGUUGUCCCGGUUUAAGCGUGUAGGUGUGUGU